rnacentral:rRNA from 1 species
GGAUUAGAUACCCUGGUAGUCCACGCCGUAAACGAUGUCAACUAGCCGUUGGGGAGAUUUAACUCUUUAGUGGCGCAGCUAACGCGAUAAGUUGACCGCCUGGGGAGUACGCCGGCAACGGUAAAACUCAAAGGAAUUGACGGGGGCCCGCACAAGCGGUGGAGCAUGUGGUUUAAUUCGAUGCAACGCGAAGAACCUUACCAGCCCUUGACAUCCUGCGAACUUUCUAGAGAUAGAUUGGUGCCUUCGGGAAUGCAGUGACAGGUGCUGCAUGGCUGUCGUCAGCUCGUGCCG